GCCCUGGUGGCACAAUGGUUAAGUGCCUGGCUGCUAACUGAAAGGUUGGUGGUUCAAACCCACCCAGUGGCU
rfam:Loxodonta africana unplaced genomic scaffold scaffold_97, whole genome shotgun sequence.